CCUACGGGUGGCAGCAGUGAGGAAUAUUGGUCAAUGGACGAGAGUCUGAACCAGCCAAGUAGCGUGAAGGAUGAAUGCCCUAUGUGUUGUAAACUUCUUUUAUAUGGGAAUAAAAUGGUCCACGUGUGGGCUUUUGUAUGUACCAUAUGAAUAAGCAUCGGCUAACUCCGUGCCAGCAUCCGCGGUAAUACGGAGGAUACGAGCGUUAUCCGGAUUUAUUGGGUUUAAAGGGUGCGUAGGUGGAUUGUUAAGUCAGUAGGGAAAGUGUGGGGCUCAACCGGAAAAGUGCAGUUGAAACUGGCAGUCUUGAGUACAGUAGAGGUGGGCGGAAUGCGGGGUGUAGCGGUGAAAUGCUUAGAUAUCACGAAGAACUCCGAUUGCGAAGGCAGCUCACUGGACUGCAACUGACACUGAGGCUCGAAAGUGUGGGUAUCAAACAGGAUUAGAUACCCGGGUAGUC
rnacentral:rRNA from 1 species